UACGUAGGGGCCGAGCGUUGUCCGGAGUUAUUGGGCGUAAAGCGCGCGCAGGCGGCCUCGCGCGCCCGACGUGAAAGCCCCCGGCUUAACCGGGGAGGGUCGUUGGGGACGGCGGGGCUUGAGGGCGGGAGAGGUCGGUGGAAUUCCCGGUGUAGCGGUGAAAUGCGCAGAUAUCGGGAAGAACACCCGUGGCUAAGGCGGCUCUCUAGUACGGUACUGACGCUGAGACGCGAAAGCGUGGGGAGCGAAACAGGG
rnacentral:rRNA from 1 species